rnacentral:tRNA from 1 species
GCGGGCGUAGCGUAGUGGUCUAACGCGUCUGGUUGUGGCCCAGAAGAUCGAGGGUUCAAAUCCCUCCGCUCGCCCCA